UGCUGAGUCAGCUCAGUUGGUAGAGUGUGAGACUUUUAAUGUCGGGGUCAUGGGUCCGAGCCCCACGUUGGGCAA